GGGAAGCCUUGUUAAUAUUUAUAGAAUAGAGGAAAUCUUUCCAUGGGGUGAUAUGUGUGUUUGUGUUUCAGUAGGAGAAGGGGUUAAUUGGUUAUCAGUUAUAAGAUAAGAUACUACUUUAUUCAUCCUCCAAGAGGGGAAAUGUACAGUUAACUUCUGGUCGCCCCUGUUAGCUGGCUCCUGCUUAUGAGGUGUGUAUGUGUGUAUCUGCCUAUCUGUGUGUGCGGAUGGGGUAGGAUAGUUAAUAAUCAGAGGAAGUAUUUCAAUUGGGUGAUGUGUGUGUUUUUGAUGGGGGGAGGGGCUAGUAAGUUACUAGUUGAGACCCAGCUCCUGGUAGUGAAGGUAGCAGGCUGGUACUCCUUGUAGUGAAGGUAUCAGGCUGGUACUCCUGGUAGUGAAGGUAUCAGGCUGGUACUCCUGGUAGUGAAGGUAUCAGGAUGGUACUCCUUGUAGUGAAGGUAUCAGGCUGGUACUCCUGGUAGUGAAGGUAUCAGGCUGGUACUCCUGGUAGUGAAAGUAGCAGGCUGGUACUCCUGGUAGUGAAGGUAUCAGGCUG
rnacentral:lncRNA from 1 species